rnacentral:rRNA from 1 species
GACGAACGCUGGCGGCGUGCUUAACACAUGCAAGUCGAACGGAGCGAAUGAAAGCUUGCUUUUAUAAGCUUAGUGGCAAACGGGUGAGUAACACGUAGGCAACCUGCCGACAGGAUGGGGACAACAUUCCGAAAGGAAUGCUAAUACCGAAUGAAGUCGAGGGAGGGCAUCCUCCUCCGAUGAAAGAUGGCCUCUAUAUAUAAGCUAUCACCUGUCGAUGGGCCUGCGUCUGAUUAGCUGGUAGGUGAGGUAACGGCUCACCUAGGCGACGAUCAGUAGCCGGUCUGAGAGGAUGAACGGCCACAUUGGGACUGAGACACGGCCCAGACUCCUACGGGAGGCAGCAGUGGGGAAUCUUCCGCAAUGGGCGCAAGCCUGACGGAGCAACGCCGCGUGAGUGAAGAAGGUCUUCGGAUCGUAAAGCUCUGUUGAUGGGGACGAACGUGCCUAAUGCGAAUAGUAUUAAGGUAAAGGCGGACCCAUCG